rnacentral:rRNA from 1 species
CAGUUCGGAUUGUGGUCUGCAACCCGACUACAUGAAGCUGGAAUCGCUAGUAAUCGCGGAUCAGAAUGCCGCGGUGAAUACGUUCCCGGGUCUUGUACACACCGCCCGUCACACCAUGGGAGUCGGAAAUGCCCGAAGUCUGUGACCUAACCGAGAGGGAGGAGCAGCCGAAGGCAGGUCUGAUGACUGGGGUGAAGUCGUAACAAGGUAUC